AUUUUACAUCAAUAGCGGGGAAAAGGAACCAACAGGGAUUGCCUCAGUAACGGCGAGUGAAGCGGCAACAGCUCAAAUUUUAAAGCUGGCGUCUUUGACGCCCGCGUUGUAAUUUGGAGAGGCAUCUUCGGUUUGGGCGCCAGCCUAUGUUCCUUGGAACAGGACGUCACAGAGGGUGAGAAUCCCGUGCUUGGCUGGCUGUCCCUUUCCAUGUGAAGUGCCUUCGACGAGUCGAGUUGUUUGGGAAUGCAGCUCAAAAUGGGUGGUAAAUUCCAUCUAAAGCUAAAUAUUGGCGGGAGACCGAUAGCGCACAAGUAGAGUGAUCGAAAGAUGAAAAGCACUUUGAAAAUAGAGUUAAAAAGUACGUGAAAUUGUUGAAAGGGAAGCGCUUGAGACCAGACUCGGCCGGAGAUGAUCAGCCGUCCUUCUGGGCGGUGCACUUGUCUCCGGUCGGGCCAGCAUCGGUUGAGACGGCGGGAUAAAGGCCCGGGGAAUGUGGCUCCUUUCGGGGAGUGUUAUAGCCCCGGGCGCAAUGCCGCCAGCCUCGACCGAGGACCGCGCUUUUUGCUAGGAUGCUGGCGUAAUGGUCUUCAGCGACCCGUCUUGAAACACGGACCAAGGAGUCUAACAUCUAUGCGAGUGUUUGGGUGUCAAACCCUUGCGCGUAAUGAAAGUGAACGGAGGUGGGAACCCCUUCGCGGGGCGCACCAUCGACCGGUCCUGAUGUCUUCGGAUGGAUCUGAGUAGGAGCAUAGCUGUUGGGACCCGAAAGAUGGUGAACUAUGCCUGAAUAGGGUGAAGCCAGAGGAAACUCUGGUGGAGGCUCGCAGCGGUUCUGACGUGCAAAUCCAUCGUCAAAUCCGCUAAAAAGGCGAAAGGCA
rnacentral:rRNA from 1 species